rnacentral:piRNA from 1 species
UAAAGGAUUUAGGACAGUAUGUAA